rnacentral:tRNA from 1 species
GCCUGGCUGGCUCAGUCGGCAGAGCACAUGACUCUGGAUCUCGGGGUUGUGAGUUCGAGCCCCGCGUUGGGUG